UAGGGAAUCUUCGGCAAUGGGGGGAACCCUGACCGAGCAACGCCGCGUGAGUGAAGAAGGUUUUCGGAUCGUAAAGCUCUGUUGUUAAGGAAGAACGAGUGUGAGAAUGGAAAGUUCAUACUGUGACGGUACUUAACCAGAAAGGGACGGCUAACUACGUGCCAGCAGCCGCGGUAAUACGUAGGUGGCAAGCGUUGUCCGGAUUUAUUGGGCGUAAAGCGAGCGCAGGCGGUCAAUUAAGUCUGAUGUGAAAGCCCCCGGCUCAACCGGGGAGGGUCAUUGGAAACUGGUUGACUUGGGUGCAGAAGAGGAGAGUGGAAUUCCAUGUGUAGCGGUGAAAUGCGUAGAUAUAUGGAGGAACACCAGUGGCGAAGGCGACUCUCUGGUCUGUAACUGACGCUGAGGCUCGAAAGCGUGGGUAGCAAACAGG
rnacentral:rRNA from 1 species